UACGUAGGGUGCAAGCGUUGUCCGGAAUUAUUGGGCGUAAAGAGCUCGUAGGCGGUCUGUCGCGUCGGCUGUGAAAUCCCGAGGCUCAACCUCGGGUCUGCAGUCGAUACGGGCAAACUAGAGUAUUGCAGGGGAGACUGGAAUUCCUGGUGUAGCGGUGAAAUGCGCAGAUAUCAGGAGGAACACCGGUGGCGAAGGCGGUUCUCUGGGCCUGUACUGACGCUGAGGAGCGAAAGCGUGGGGAGCGAACAGG
rnacentral:rRNA from 1 species